GUGCCAGCAGCCGCGGUAAUACGUAGGGUGCAAGCGUUAAUCGGAAUUACUGGGCGUAAAGCGUGCGCAGGCGGUUAUGUAAGACAGUUGUGAAAUCCCCGGGCUCAACCUGGGAAUUGCAUCUGUGACUGCAUAGCUAGAGUACGGUAGAGGGGGAUGGAAUUCCGCGUGUAGCAGUGAAAUGCGUAGAUAUGCGGAGGAACACCGAUGGCGAAGGCAAUCCCCUGGACCUGUACUGACGCUCAUGCACGAAAGCGUGGGGAGCAAACAGGAU
rnacentral:rRNA from 1 species